UGGGGAAUAUUGCGCAAUGGGGGAAACCCUGACGCAGCAACGCCGCGUGAUUGAAGAAGGCCUUCGGGUUGUAAAGAUCUUUAAUCAGGGACGAAACAAAUGACGGUACCUGAAGAAUAAGCUCCGGCUAACUACGUGCCAGCAGCCGCGGUAAUACGUAGGGAGCAAGCGUUAUCCGGAUUUACUGGGUGUAAAGGGCGCGCAGGCGGGCCGGCAAGUUGGAAGUGAAAUCUAUGGGCUUAACCCAUAAACUGCUUUCAAAACUGCUGGUCUUGAGUGAUGGAGAGGCAGGCGGAAUUCCGUGUGUAGCGGUGAAAUGCGUAGAUAUACGGAGGAACACCAGUGGCGAAGGCGGCCUGCUGGACAUUAACUGACGCUGAGGCGCGAAAGCGUGGGGAGCAAACA
rnacentral:rRNA from 2 species